rnacentral:lncRNA from 1 species
UCUCUAACUAAAAAUAACAAGGUUUAGCCGCUCAUAUUGACCUUGAUACACUAAAAGUUGUUUAUAGUGUUUUUACAGAAAGAAGAAAAAUUUAGAAAAACCUAAGUUUGUUGCAAUCCUCGACAACUCCCCCUCUUUUCCUUUGUUCUUCCUAUUAAAGGCCGAGAGGAUAUGUUUUGCCAAGAUAGGGUUUCACACGAGCAUCUCGGCUUCUUUUCUACUUUUCAAAAUAAUCUUCUC